rnacentral:rRNA from 1 species
CGUUGCUUCGGCGGGAACAGACGGCCCCGUGAAACGGGCCGCCCCCGACCAGAGGACCCCUAACUCUGUUUCUAUAAUGUUUCUUCUGAGUAAAACAAGCAAAUAAAUUAAAACUUUCAACAACGGAUCUCUUGGCUCUGGCAUCGAUGAAGAACGCAGCGAAAUGCGAUAAGUAAUGUGAAUUGCAGAAUUCAGUGAAUCAUCGAAUCUUUGAACGCACAUUGCGCCCGCCAGUAUUCUGGCGGGCAUGCCUGUUCGAGCGUCAUUACAACCCUCAGGCCCCCGGGCCUGGCGUUGGGGAUCGGCGGAGCCCCCCGUGGGCACACGCCGUCCCCCAAAUACAGUGGCGGUCCCGCCGCAGCUUCCAUCGCGUAGUAGCUAACACCUCGCGACUGGAGAGCGGCGCGGCCACGCCGUAAAACACCCAACUCUUCUGAAGUUGACCUCGAAUCAGGUAGGAAUACCCGCUGAACUUAAGCAUAUCAAUAAGACGGAGGAAAAGAAACCAACAGGGAUUGCCCCAGUAACGGCGAGUGAAGCGGCAACAGCUCAAAUUUGAAAUCUGGCUCUCGGGCCCGAGUUGUAAUUUGUAGAGGAUGCUUUUGGUGAGGUGCCUUCCGAGUUACCCUGGAACGGGACGCCAUAGAGGGUGAGAGCCCCGUCUGGUUGGACGCCGAACCUCUGUAAAGCUCCUUCGACGAGUCGAGUAGUUUGGGAAUGCUGCUCU